GCUGUUGUGUCCGAGUGGUUAAGGAGAGUGACUUGAAUCUAGACAUUAGUCUAGGAAUCAGACAUCACUUGGGUUCGCCCGCGUACGUUCGAACCGUGCCGACAGCG